rnacentral:rRNA from 1 species
UACAGAGGUCUCAAGCGUUGUUCGGAUUCAUUGGGCGUAUAGGGUGCGUAGGCGGCGCGGUAAGUCGGGUGUGAAAUCUCGGAGCUUAACUCCGAAACUGCAUUCGAUACUGCGGUGCUUGAGGACUGGAGAGGAGACUGGAAUUCAUGGUGUAGCAGUGAAAUGCGUAGAGAUCAUGAGGAAGACCAGUGGCGAAGGCGGGUCUCUGGACAGUUCCUGACACUGAGGCACGAAGGCCAGGGGAGCAAACGGG